GAUGAACGCUAGCGACAGGCUUAACACAUGCUUUUCGAGGGGCAGCGGGAGGAGGAAGCUUGCUUUCUCCUGCCGGCGACCGGCGCACGGGUGAGUAACACGUAUGCAACCUGGCCGUCACAGGUGGAUAACCGGAAGAAAUUCCGACUAAUACAGCAUAACACUCCUGAGGGACAUCCUUUGGGAGUCAAAGGAGGCGACUCCGGUGACGGAUGGGCAUGCGGCGCAUUAGGUAGUUGGUAGGGUAACGGCCUACCAAGCCGACGAUGCGUAGGGGUUCUGAGAGGAAGGUCCCCCACAUUGGAAUUGAGACACGGUCCAAACUCCUACGGGAGGCAGCAGUGAGGAAUAUUGGUCAAUGGCCGGAAGGCUGAACCAGCCAAGUCGCGUGAGGGAAUAAGGCCCUAUGGGUCGUAAACCUCUUUUGUCAGGGAGCAAAGGCGUCCACGAGUGGACGAAAGGAGAGUACCUGAAGAAAAAGCAUCGGCUAACUCCGUGCCAGCAGCCGCGGUAAUACGGAGGAUGCGAGCGUUAUCCGGAUUUAUUGGGUUUAAAGGGUGCGUAGGGCGGAGUGUCAAGUCGGCGGUAAAAUUUCGGGGCUCAACCCCGUCGUGCCGUUGAAACUGACACCCUUGAGUGAGUGAGAAGUAAGCGGAAUGCGUGGUGUAGCGGUGAAAUGCAUAGAUAUCACGCAGAACGCCGAUUGCGAAGGCAGCUUACCGGCGCUCAACUGACGCUGAGGCACGAAAGUGCGGGUAUCGAACAGGAUUAGAUACCCUGGUAGUCCGCACAGUAAACGAUGAAUGCUAGAUGUCCGGGGCGAAUGAGCUCUGGGUGUCACAGCGAAAGCGUUAAGCAUUCCACCUGGGGAGUACGCCGGCAACGGUGAAACUCAAAGGAAUUGACGGGGGCCCGCACAAGCGGAGGAACAUGUGGUUUAAUUCGAUGAUACGCGAGGAACCUUACCCGGGCUCAAACGCCUCAGGAAUCAUUUGUGAAAGCAGAUGAGUCUUCGGACCUGAGGCGAGGUGCUGCAUGGUUGUCGUCAGCUCGUGCCGUGAGGUGUCGGCUUAAGUGCCAUAACGAGCGCAACCCCCACCGACAGUUGCUAACUGGUUAAGCAGAGGACUCUGUCGGGACUGCCGGCGCAAGCUGUGAGGAAGGCGGGGAUGACGUCAAAUCAGCACGGCCCUUACGUCCGGGGCGACACACGUGUUACAAUGGCAGGUACAGCGGGAAGCGACCGAGCGAUCGGCAGCGGAACCCGAAAACCUGUCUCAGUUCGGAUCGGAGUCUGCAACCCGACUCCGUGAAGCUGGAUUCGAUGGUAAUCGCGCAUCAGCCAUGGCGCGGUGAA
rnacentral:rRNA from 1 species